GGUCGGGAUAGACAUUUGCCGACUAGGACUCGGGCAAACCACAAUAACUAGACUACUUGAGAGGUGCUGAUAUGGACUCGAUGGAUCAUAAUGAAUUUGAAUCUUCAUAUAUCAUUAAUCCAUUCCAAAUUAUUCUUAACAGAUAUCCCCCUACUCCCUAGUCCGAGCUCUGGUCAGGCUAUGGGAGUAUUUAUUUUGGUAUUUUGAAUGAUCAAAAAUGUA
rnacentral:lncRNA from 1 species